rnacentral:lncRNA from 1 species
UUAUAUCCAACUGAGUGUUUCUCAUUCGUUGAGUGCUUUUCGCAUUCCAUCAAAUUUCUCUUUUCUUUUGUUUUCUUUUUUUCGAUAGUUGUUUUUCUUGAUCUUUUUCCGCACUGACCUUACUUUCAGAUACUUAUGGGGUUGCCCAAACUUAGAAUUUAACACAACUUAAAGAACAUAACAUUUUCUCUGAACAAGGUAAGGAAGUGUUUGGGCCACGGGUUAUAUUCAUGUGGUGAUAUUGUUGUACCCCUAAAUUUGCCUUCCCUUUUUCCUAGCCUUCCAUCCAACCAUAUGACCAG